UUUGACAACCACUGAGUUGGACAAGGAAGGAGAGGAAGAGGAGCAGAGAUUUCCAAGCAACAGGACAGCUUGCGUGAUGGCCUGAGAUGAGCACAUUGAGGCCCCUAGAGGGCAAGCACCCGCUUCAAAUCUCAGGGACAGUCAUGGCCGAGUGUGAGGGGAACUCAGGCUCUCUGAGACCUGGGCCUGGCUGUCCCCUCCCUGGGAGAGAAUUCAAAGUCUGGAGUCUUUCCUGAGAUCCCCCAGGUGGGAGUCUGAGACACAGAGAAGGGACACUAAAGACUGGCUUCCUGUCCUGGGCUCUUGGGUCAAUGACAGAGAGAAGCAAGCCUGGGCCCAUCAAAGCCUCUGGGUGCAAGGUCUGGCGUGGCUGGGCAGGAAAGAGCUGCCUUCAAAAGCUGCCUCCUCCAAAGUGCAGCAGGUAUGUCUGGCCAGCUAGGGGUGGGCACUGGGGUGAGCCCCUGCCACUGUGCUCCCAUCCCAACUCAGGGCCCUGCAGUCAAUGAGGGAAGGUCUCAGGGACCCCAACUAUGCAGGGACUGUGAGCCUGGUUCUCCUUAGAACACUCCCAACCCCAGGAAACUAGCCUGAAACCAGAGCCCUGGAGCAAUUCCUGGCAAGGCAUCCCGUUUGGGGUUGAGGGCUCUGGGUGCUGUUCUAAUUUAUGGGCCACCUGACCUGGCCUGAAUUCCUCCCACCGUCAUUCUCUCAGGAGCAAGCGCUGCUCGGGCCAAGCUUGGCCACAUGCCCUUGACCUUCCACAGGCCCAUCCAACGGUGCCUGUCCCUUGAGGCUGGGGGUGGGGAGCUCAGCCCCAUGACAGGCCAGUCCACAGGCAUCACAGGCCACAUUCAUUCAUUCAUUCGUUCAUUCAUUCAUUCAUUCAGGGAGCCCUUCAUUGACUCCAGGGAGGAUCACAAACAAGGAGGAGGCACGCCUGAAACAUAAGUACCAGGAGGGCAGCCUGGCAGAGCAGGCAGGGGCCUGGGCUCUGCACCCCACAGUUUACUGGCUGUGCCAUCCUGGACAAACACUCCUUCCUUCAGUUUCCCCAGCUGCGAAAAGGGGACAAUAAUUGUACCUAACUCAUAAAGUUGUUGCAAGGUUUAAAUACGUAAAUUAUUACAUGUCCGUGAGAUGAGCAUGCAAAGUGUUGAGAAGCCUGCACAAAAUAAGUGUUCAAUAAAUGUCAACUAGUAACAUUAAGAAACGAUGAGAAGUUGUGCAAAGAAAAAAAUGUGAUGAAACAGAGUUCUCGGGACUCAGGGUAGGGCACCACGACAUGGGGUAGUCAAAGAAAGCUUCCUGGAGGAGGUGACAUUGGAGCUGAGACUUGACUGAUGAAAGUCAGGCUUGUGGGGAUCUGGGGGAUGGUGUUCCAGGCAGAGGGAACAGCAACUGCAAAGGCCCUGAGGUGGGAAUGAGCUUGGCACAGCCAAGGGCUAACAGCAUCCACAAAGCCAGCGUGGCCGGAAUGGAGUGUGUGCUGAGGAAUUGCUAGAAGAGGAGAUCAGUGAGGUAGGGCCUGGCACACUAUGGGGAGGGGAGCCCAUAGCACCCCAGGCCCCCAUCAUGGAAAACUGGAUCUCAGACCCUCCUGGCCUUUGUCCUAAUGACACUUUUUAAAAAAGCAAAUACAUCUCUAGCCUUCACACCAACCAAGAGACAGAAAGUCUGGGAGUGAGUUUGUGCCAAAGUCUAGGAGCGCCUGCCUGAUACCUUCUUCCUAUCUUCUGCCAGCGAGUUAUGGGCAAAUUAUUACUAUUUACUUGAUAUUACUAGCUGACAUUUAUCUUCUUUCUGUCUUCUACUGGGACAAUGGCUGGUCAGCCUCUGCCUUGGGGAAUCCCAGGGAAGGGAAUCCUCCCACCUCCACCUCACAGACGCAGCUGGAACCUCUGCACAGGCAAAGGGACAAUGUUAAGAUCAUUCCAGUGUCCUGAAGCUCCUGCAGACCUCAGGAUCUGGAUCCUGGCUCCUGUACACCAGGGAGGAAAAGAAGAGCCCUGCCUUCUCGAGAACUCUCACUGACAGAGGCAUAAGCCGAGGGAGGAACAGAAGAAGCCAUUCCCAAGGCCCAGCUUGUGGGCAGAGAGUGACCACCCUGCUACCUACUUUACUCCGAGGCUGCCCUGUCCCUAAUAAUCCUUCCAGACUCUGGGAGUGUCCAUGCCUCCAGGGCUCACAAGAGGUGGGUGGCCAGGAUGGAACCAACCUAGGGACUCCCUCUGUGCUCUCUUUCCAACUUCAAGCCCAAAUCAGAUGGGGACCCAGGCCAGCCCCACUGAAGAAGUGACUGUCGGCUAAAGGGACCACCGGAGGAGAUUGUGUGGGCCAGGUGUACCUGUGCCAAGACUAAGAUGAGUAUAUUUGGGAAGAGCAGAAGGAAACAGCGAGUAUCUUUAACAACAAUCACAAAGUACAAUUUCUAACAAACACCCUACUUCCUUCUUUCUAUGUAUCUAUUCAUUGCUUGCUGGAGACUAGCAGUCAGAAUGAGGCUAGGUCAAGGCAUCCAUCCCCAGGGGGGCCAGUUUUGCUGGGAGAGCGUGGGUGGCCCAGAGCACCCCUGCCCAUGGUGGCCUGGAUGACCCCUCAUAGGGCAGCAUAGUGGUCAAUUGUUCAUCACUGUGACCCUGAGUGUACAUCUUCUAUUGAAUACAAGAUCCUUCCUCCUGUUCUCUGAUCGACCCCCAUUUGGGUCAGUGGAGACUCAGAGAAGUGAAGCGAUUUGCUCAAGGUCACACAGCCCGUGGAUGGAAGCUGGUAGGGCAGUGCCUGCCAGGACCACAAGGUCUAUUGAGGAAUGAGGCUGGGGAGGCCCCUGCUAUGUGUCUGGAGGGGAUCCUGUGUGCCAGCAUCACAGGAAAGGGAGUCCAGAGCCCUUGGGAAAGGGAGUGGGUGCUGAGGCCGUUUCGCUCACCUUUGCGACUCAGAAGGAGUGAGGGUCAGGAUGCCACUCCGUAAUUAACUGGGCCCAGCACCCCCGGGCCUUGUUCCUUGGGGUCUACUUGGAGGCUCUGGGGGCAUCACUUGGGGUCUUGAGCCAGGACCUGUGUCCGGGCAGCAAAGGACUCAGGGAAGAGUGGAGGGCCAAAUGGGAGUUGGUGAAGUCUCUGGGGACAGUGGGCUCGUGGCCAGGGUGGAAGAGACACAGGCUGAGAGGGCCGUCCAGUUCAACCCGCUGGUUUUAGGGUCACAUAGGACAGAGUGGGGUAUAAGAGCAUGAGUUCUGAGUCAAACAGACCUGGACCUGAGUCCUGUGUGACUCUGGACAAAUGGCUUCAUCUCUCUGAGCCUUACCUUCCUCAUCUGUAAAAUGGGAUGAUCAAUGAACCCUCCAGGGUCUAUGGUGAGGAAGAAAGGAGGUGGUGGGUUCAGUUCCUAAGUGCCCACUAAUACCUCCUCCUGUUAUCAAUACUGGCAGUUGCUCUCAUUACUACAGGUAACUCGAGUCACAAUAGCAGUAACAACUCAAGCUCCUUAGUCCUGGAAGAGGCUUCCUUCCACUGGACCAGUGAGUCUCAGCUGGCUGUGAUUUUGCCCCCUGCCAGGGGACUGCUGGCACUGUCUGGCAACAUUUUUGGUUGUCACAAUUUGGGGGUUGCUACUGGCAUCUAGGGGACAGAGGUCAGGGAUGCCACUAAACAUCCCGCUACAACAAAGAAAUAUCGAGCCCAAAAUGCAAUAGUGCGAGAUUGAGAAACUCUGCACUAGACCUGUUCUGUCCCGGUGUCACUGGCUCACGGUGGCCAGUGAGCACCUGAGAUGCACUCAAUCUACGCUGAGAUGUGCUGAAGUGUAAAAUGUGCACUGGAUUACAAAGACUUAGCAUGAAAAAAGGAAGGUAAACCAUUUCCUUAAUAAUUUUUAUAUUGAUUGCAUGUUGAAAUGAUAAUAUUCUAAAAUAUUGGGUUAAACAAAAUAUAUUAUUAAAAUUAUGCCUGUUGUUUUAACUUUAAAAAAGUGUGGACUACUAGAAGAUUUAAAAUGCAAUUGUGGUUUUGUUGUGGUUCAAACUGGACUUUUCUGGACAGUACUGGUCUAGAGCGCACUGCCCCUCUCUGUGGUGGUGGAGAACCUUAAGUGCCGGUGGGGGUUAGGGUCUUUGUGGUCGUUGAGACAGGACAAGGGGAAUCGUCACACUGCUGCCCCCUGCUAGAGGGAGGCUGAGUCCAUAUCUGCCCCACUCUGUGCCCCUACCCCAGCUGGGCCUCUCUUUGCCAGGAUAGAGCGAUAGCAGGGCGCCUGAGCAGGAACCCUCCUUUGCUCCCCACCCCCGACUGGGAGGAUCAUGCCAGCUUUUCAGGCGGCACCAACCAUGCCCCAGCAAAUAAACAGGUGGGUAUGGUGACAGCUGAGGCUUAGAGACCUGAGCACUCUGGCUCCGCGCCCACUCCCUAGCGGUGCCCAGUUCAGGGCUGGGGGUGGGGAAGGCAGGGGAGCUCUUGCACCCCACCAGAGCCUGGACCACCCUCCACUGCUGUGUUCUUGUUCUCAGAGACCACCCAGUCCACCUCUGAGGUUUACAUGGGGGACAACUGAAGCCCAGGCCCAGGGGAAGGCAGAGGUUGAGGCCAGGGACAGAGGCAUGGAGUGGGUCCCUAGUCCUGGGGCUUGUUGGUAUCAGCGUGGCCAGUGCCUCUGCAGCGGUGGCAGGAGACUGGUUGGGCAGGUGGGAGGGCUGCCAGGGCUGUGUGGGGAGACACAUGAUGGGUUGGUGGGGGCCUGGGAGAGGCAGGGUGCUCCAGGUGUCAGGAUGAUUUGAGAGCCAUAAACCACGAUGGUGCCUCCGUGUGAGUUCAGCUUGAGGCAGAGAGGAUAGGGGACUCAUCCGGUGUCAGCACAGGGUCCCACCUCAGAGUCCUGCAUGCUCCCUGCCCCCAGCACUGACCCCUCCAACCCUAGCAAUGGGGAGGUUUUAAAUGCUUGGAAUAGAGGGGGCAGAUCAAACCCCAGCAUAACCCCACCCUUUCAUUCACACCAGCCACACCUUUCCAAGGCCCCGUCCCAUUACUCAGGGAGACAGAUCAUUGGACUUGGCUGCUUUCUGGGAUUGCGGGGGGAGUGGUAGGGCCCUACCCUACCUUCAGCUGUCUCGGACAUCCCGCACUCUACCAAGUUCUUGGACAGAGAGAAGGGGAGGGAGCAGAACUCUGAAUCAGGAUCCUUUUCCAACAAAGUACCCCGCUAUACACCCCAAGUCCCCGUCGUCAGCUGGGUAGAAUAUUGUCCCUCUGUGGUCUCAGAAUGAAGUCAGGGGAAGGUAUCUGGGGACACGGAGCUCAGGGCCAGUGCCUGGGGACAAGCAACCACCAGCAGCCCCCACAGGGCGAAAUCGGAGCCUGAGUAACCUCCAGGGCCGGAUUCAGCCUCAGGGCAGCUCCCUUCGGGUCCUGCCCCAGUCCCCGGCAAGUCUCCGCGGAAGCUCCGCUGAACUGGGAGUGGGAAGCAGGAGAGGGGCUGGGUUGAGGUGGGUCCGAGGGGAAGUGAGGUGCGGAGGGGAAGUGAAAGGGGAGAGGACGGCAGGGAAGCUGAAGGGGUGUGAGGUCCCCCGGGAGGAGAACUGGAGAGGGCCAGACGGAGGGUUACGGGUGAAAGGGAGGGUCUGUGAGGGAGCUGGGGCUGAGGCUGUGUUAGGGGGUCUGGGAGAGUCUCAGGGUUUCUGGAAGGUGGACACAAGGUUCGGGGGUUGUCAGGUUUCUGGAUGAGAUUCUUAGGAUUUCUGGGCUCGGGGGCUCGGGAUGAGGGACAACUCGGGCUGGACAAAGGCUGUCCACGUCCCCGAGUCUGAGCGCGUCUCAGGAUUUCUGGGCUCGAGAUCUCGGCCCGGGCAUCACGGUGGGCCG
rnacentral:lncRNA from 1 species